CCUACGGGUGGCAGCAGUGAGGAAUAUUGGUCAAUGGGCGCGAGCCUGAACCAGCCAAGUAGCGUGAAGGAUGACUGCCCUACGGGUUGUAAACUUCUUUUAUAAAGGAAUAAAGUGAGGCACGUGUGCCUUUUUGUAUGUACUAUAUGAAUAAGGAUCGGCUAACUCCGUGCCAGCAGCCGCGGUAAUACGGAGGAUCCGAGCGUUAUCCGGAUUUAUUGGGUUUACAGUGAGCGUAGAUGGGUUUUUAAGUCAGUGGUGAAAGUUUGCGGCUCAACCGUAAAAUUGCCAUUGAUACUGGCAGCCUUGAGUACAGUUGAGGUAGGCGGCAUUCGUUGUGUAGCGG
rnacentral:rRNA from 1 species